GAAAUGCGAUACGUAUCAUGAAUUGCAGAACUCUGAAUGAUAAAUGUUUGAACGCAUAUUGCGCCAGCUUCUGGUUGGCAUGUCUGUCUGAGAAUCUUAAAGUUUCUCUCCAAACAAACGUGUUUUGGUUGGGGGCUAUUGACGGUUUCCAUUUGUAAUGGACUGUUGAAAAGGAGAAACUACUUUCCAUCCUAGUGUUUUAUAGGAGGUAAAGGUGCUUUUGACAAACUCAAAGACACGUGCCACCUUAUUACAAAACACAGAACACAACUUGGUCUCAGAUCAGACAGGAGGACCCGCUGAACUUAAGCAUAUCAAUAAGCGGAGGAAAAGAAACUAACAAGGAUUCCCUCAGUAACGGCGAGUGAAGUGGGAAUAGCUCAAAUUUUAAAUCUGCCCUCUGGGGUCGAAUUGUAGUUUCGAGAAGUGUUUUCGGAUCUGGGGCAGGUCAAAGUCCUCAGGAUUUGGGCAUCACAGAGGGUGACAAUCCCGUGAAUGGCCUACUACCGGGUCCAUGUGAUACACUUUCAAAGAGUCAGGUUGUUUGGGAAUGCAGCCUAAAAUGGGUGGUAAAUACCAUCUAAAGCUAAAUAAUGGCGAGAGACCGAUAGCGAACAAGUACCGUGAGGGAAAGAUGAAAAGAACUUUGAAAAGAGAGUUAAAAAGUGCUUGAAAUUGUCAAAAGGGAAGCGCUCAACGCCAGUGAUGACGGCUGGAAUCAGCAGUUCUUUGAAUUGUGCACUUCCAGCCUUCAAGUCAACAUCAGUUUGGUUUGCGGGAUAAGGACCAAGGGAGGCACCUAGUGCAAUCUUGGCUGAUACCGUGGGCUAGACUGAGGUCUGCUUAUAGGAUGUUGAC
rnacentral:rRNA from 1 species